UACGUAGGGUGCAAGCGUUGUCCGGAAUUAUUGGGCGUAAAGAGCUCGUAGGCGGUCUGUCGCGUCGGAUGUGAAAAUCCAGGGCUCAACCCUGGACCUGCAUUCGAUACGGGCAGACUAGAGUUCGGUAGGGGAGACUGGAAUUCCUGGUGUAGCGGUGAAAUGCGCAGAUAUCAGGAGGAACACCGGUGGCGAAGGCGGCAUCCUGGACCAACACUGACACUGAGGAGCGAAAGCCAGGGGAGCAAACGGG
rnacentral:rRNA from 1 species